UACGUAGGGGGCUAGCGUUGUCCGGAUUUAUUGGGCGUAAAAGAGCGUGUAGGCGGCCUGGAAGGUCAGCUGUGAAAAACCUCGAGGCUCAACCUCGAGACGUCGGUUGAAACCACCUGGCUAGAGUCCGGAAGAGGAGAGUGGAAUUCCUGGUGUAGCGGUGAAAUGCGUAGAUAUCAGGAGGAACACCGAUGGCGAAGGCAGGUCUCUGGGCCACUACUGACGCUGAGAAGCGAAAGCAUGGGGAGCGAACAGG
rnacentral:rRNA from 1 species